rnacentral:rRNA from 1 species
CUACGGGGGGCUCCAGUGAGGAAUAUUGCACAAUGGGGGGAACCCUGAUGCAGCAACGCCGCGUGGAGGAUGACGCAAUUCGGUGUGUAAACCCCUUUUAUAUGUCAAGAAAAUGACGGUAGCAUAUGAAUAAGCACCGGCUAACUCCGUGCCAGCAGCCGCGGUAAUACGGAGGGUGCAAGCGUUACUCGGAAUCACUGGGCGUAAAGGACGCGUAGGCGGGUUGGAAAGUCAGGUGUGAAAUCCUACAGCUUAACUGUAGAACUGCACUUGAAACUUCUAAUCUAGAGUAUGGGAGGGGGAGAUGGAAUUAGUGGUGUAGGGGUAAAAUCCGUAGAUAUCACUAGGAAUACCUAAAGCGAAGGCGAUCUCCUGGAACAUUACUGACGCUAAGGCGUGAAAGCGUGGGGAGCAAACAGGAUUAGAUACCCGUGUAGUC